AGCGGGAUGGAGCAGUCUGGCAGCUCGUCGGGCUCAUAACCCGAAGGUCCCCGGUUCGAAUCCGGGUCCCGCAACCA
rnacentral:tRNA from 1 species